rnacentral:rRNA from 1 species
AGUGAACGCUGGCGGUAGGCCUAACACAUGCAAGUCGAACGGCAGCACAGUAAGAGCUUGCUCUUACGGGUGGCGAGUGGCGGACGGGUGAGGAAUACAUCGGAAUCUACUUUUUCGUGGGGGAUAACGUAGGGAAACUUACGCUAAUACCGCAUACGACGUACGGGUGAAAGCAGGGGAUCUUCGGACCUUGCGCGAUUGAAUGAGCCGAUGUCGGAUUAGCUAGUUGGCGGGGUAAAGGCCCACCAAGGCGACGAUCCAUAGCUGGUCUGAGAGGAUGAUCAGCCACACUGGAACUGAGACACGGUCCAGACUCCUACGGGAGGCAGCAGUGGGGAAUAUUGGGCAAUGGGCGCAAGCCUGAUGCAGCCAUACCGCGUGGGUGAAGAAGGCCUUCGGGUUGUAAAACCCUUUUAUUGGGAAAGAAAAGCAGCAGGUUAAUCCCCCGCUGUUCUGACGGUACCCAAAGAAAAAGCCCCGGCUAACUUCGUG